AUGCACUAUGAACAUGAAAAAGAAAAAAGACAAAAUGCAAAAAACGGGAUAGAACAUGAUGGGGCAAAAUAUAAUAGCGAAAGGAAUGAACAAAGCGAAAAAAACGAAAAAAACGGAAAAAACGAAAAAAACGAACAAAACGAACAAAACAAAAAAAACGAAAAAAACGAAAAAAACGAAAAAAAUGAAAAAAACGAAAAAAACGAAAAGGAAUUAACCAAUUUUUACGACAAUAGAAACAUUUUUACGGCUAAGCGAUGUUAUAAAAAUUCAGAAAAACAAACAGCAACAAAAGGUGUAUCAAACAAAGUAGAAAGUAAUAAUAACAUGAAUAUAAAUGCUAAUAAUAGUACACAGGAAAGUAGUACUAACUUAGACAAACAAGUGGAUGAAAAUUGUGAUAACUCUGAAACGGAAAGCUGUAUAAGCGAAGCGUAUAAUAGCUCGUCGAUUUAUACGAACAGUGUCUGUGAAGAUGAUUAUAUUAUAAUAGAUAACGAAUUAGCGACAGAAGAAGAACAAGAAGAAGAACAAGAAAAACAUAACUAUAAUAAUAACAAAACGGAAAGAUGUACUUUAUCCAUUGACAAUUAUUCAACAUACAAAAGUGAAACCAAUAAAGCAACAAUUAAACAAAUGAAUUAUCAAAACAUGUUUAAUUAUACCAAAAAUUGGACAAAAAUAAAAGAGUUAAACCACUUUUUAAAAACAGAAAAAAAGUUACUAUACAUAAAAAAAAAAACAUUCAAAAAUAAUAUAUGUGAUAUAUAUUUAAAUCAUAUUGAUGAACAAGAUGAAAUGCUUAAGGAUAGCAACCUAGAAAUAAAUUAUGAUUAUCAAGAUGAUACAAAUUAUGAAAGUAAAUGUACUGAUGAUAAUAAAAACAAGUCAGAAAAUUGCAUAGAUUAUUACAUUGACGAUAUAAUGGAACUAAGUAAAUGCAAAAAUAGUGUUUACAAAAAUAUUAUUUCAAAUAUAUUAACAAAUAAAACAAAAUGGAAUGAUUAUUUAAAUAGUGGAAUUAUUAAUUAUAGUCAACAAAAAAAUUCGGAUAUGCAACAUAUAGAUAUACCACUAGCCAAACUAAACAAAGAGGCUUUUUAUUUUUAUAAAAUAGUAAUAGAUAAACUUUUAAAAAAGUCAAAUCUGGAGGAUACUAUAAAUAGAUACAUAUUUUUUAAACUAAAAAAUCGUAUUUACGUCGAUCAAAUUGUCAUAUAUCAUAAUUUUUACGUCUUUAUAAAUGCUAUCCUUGGAGUAGAAACUGGCCCCGCAGUUGCGGAUUCGGUUGUGGAUUCGGUUGCGGAUUCGGUUGUGGAUUCGGUUGUGGAUUCAGUUGUGAAUUCAGCUAAAGAUAUAACUAAAAGUGAAACCACAAACGAAACCACAAACGAAACCACAAACGAAACCACAAACGCAACCACAAACGAAAGCACAAACGAAACCACAAACGAAAGCACAAACGAAAGCACAAACGAAAGCACAAACGAAACCACAAACACAAAAGCCACGCAAUGCUAUAUGCUCGGAGACAUUACAAAUCAUAACUAUUUUAAAAAUAUAUUAAAAAAACCAAAUGAAAAAGUUAUUAUUAUGUUAAAUCAUAAUAUAUAUAGCAUAAUUUUAUUAAAAACUUUAUUACAACAUAAUAAUGUUGUUUUAUUGGAUAUGGAACAUAUAAAUAACAAUCGACAAAUAAAAGAAAAGAGUAUAGUAAUAGUUGAUAUAAAAACUAAUACAGAUAUAUGUUAUAUUUUAGAAGAGUUUAUUAACAACAAUGCUGCAAAAAUAUAUUUAUUUUUUUAUAUGAAUAUUAAUAAUAUAACAGCUAAUAUACUAAAAAAAAGUACUAUUAUAAAUUUUGAUUUUAGUUCUAACCCCAUAGAAUAUUUUACAUUUUUACAUUUUAUAUUAAAUUUAAAUAUAAUAAUAAAUAAAAAAUAUAUUAAUAUUUAUGACCAAAAUAAUAUUUAUUGUAAACAAUUUUUUUUUGCUAUGUUUUUUUUUGUACUUCUCAACAACCAAAAUCAAAAUGAAAACAUCUCUUUUAAUUAUGACAUUAUUAAUGAAUUGUUUAUUUUAUUAGAUGUUUUUUGUAACCUAAAUAUGUUAAAGGAUGUACAAAAAGAUAGACAAGAGGACGAAGAAUAUGACACACAAAAAAACGCCAAAGCUAAUGUAACCGAUAAUGAAAAAAAAUGCAAGGAAUUUUUUUUACAGUAUAUACAGAAAUUAAUCGAAUCUACACUCAAUUGUAAUCUUAUUUUACAAAAACAUAUGUUGUUAUCAUUUUUAUUUCAAUUUUUUUAUUUUAAAACUAACAAAAAUUUGUUAUCUGACAUAAAUCACAUUUUACAAAUACCACCUACCAAUGUAACUAUUAAUUAUUUGAUUAAACAUAUACAAACUAACUUCAAGUUAUUAAAUAACAUACAACAACAAAAUAAAAUGAUCCAUUUAUUAAAAAAUGCUUACCAAAUAAAAAUACUAAACAAAUGCUUUAUUAAUAAACAACUUAUUUUAAAUAAAUAUGAAAAAUUAAACAUAUUCAAAACAAUAUUGUUAUUUUUUGAAGAGUUUUCUUGGUUUAGUUUGAUUAAGCCCUUUGUCAACGCUACGGCAAAAUGUAUGUAUUUGAAAACAUGA
ensembl:lncRNA